UACGUAGGUGGCAAGCGUUGUCCGGAUUUACUGGGCGUAAAGAGCGCGCAGGCGGUUGAUUAAGUCGAAUGUGAAAGCCCCCGGCUCAACUGGGGAGGGUCAUUCGAUACUGAUUGACUUGAAGGCAGGAGAGAGAAGUGGAAUUCCCGGUGUAGUGGUGAAAUGCGUAGAUAUCAGGAGGAACACCGGUGGCGAAGGCGGGUCUCUGGGCCGAUACUGACGCUGAGGAGCGAAAGCGUGAGGGGCGAACAGG
rnacentral:rRNA from 1 species